GAAUAUUGGACAAUGGGCGAAAGCCUGAUCCAGCCAUGCCGCGUGUGUGAAGAAGGUCUUCGGCUUUUAAAGCACUUUAAGUUGGGAGGAAGGGCAGUAAGCGAAUACCUUGCUGUUUUUACGUUCCCGACCGAGUAAGCCCCGGCUAACUCUGUGCCAGCAGCCGCGCUAAUACAGAGGGUGCCAGCGCUAAUCGGAAUUACUUGGCGUAAAGCGCGCGUAGGUGGUUCGUUAAGUUGGAUGUGAAAUCCCCGGGCUCAACCUGGGAACUGCAUCCAAAACUGGCGAGCUAGAGUAGGGCAGAGGGUGGUGGAAUUUCCUGUGUAGCGGUGAAAGGCGUAGAUAUAGGAAGGAACACCAGUGGCGAAGGCGACCACCUGGGCUCAUACUGACACUGAGGUGCGAAAGCGUGGGGAGCAAACA
rnacentral:rRNA from 1 species